UCCCCCUCUACACGCCGCCGGCCACCAGACGCUUCGGUGUAGGUUAUCUUUGUUAUUGUUUAUCUGACGUUUAUCAGCGAUAUAAACGCAGGGAACGACCGGGCAAUUAGGAGAUGGCAAGAAUUCGAACGCUGUCACGGUCUUUGAAUCCCUUUGCGUUGUUAUUUGGCAAAUAGACGAUGUGGAAACUUCGGAUACGUAUAGAUCUUCACAUCCUCUGGUGCGAGUAUCACAGCGUGAACAGCUGUGCUCUUGCCGGCUGUUUCCCGACGGUGCUUAACUAUGUCAAUUUUGAUAGGUAACUGAAAAUGGCAAAAAAAUAAAGAACGCGCCUUGAA